UGAGGAAUAUUGGUCAAUGGGCGGGAGCCUGAACCAGCCAAGCCGCGUGAGGGAAGAAGGCCCUAUGGGUCGUAAACCUCUUUUGUCAGGGAACAAAAGCGAGUAUGUAUACUGGUCUGAGUGUACCUGAAGAAAAAGCAUCGGCUAACUCCGUGCCAGCAGCCGCGGUAAUACGGAGGAUGCGAGCGUUAUCCGGAUUUAUUGGGUUUAAAGGGUGCGUAGGCGGCGGUGCAAGUCAGCGGUAAAAGCCCGGGGGCUCAACCCCGGCGAGCCGUUGAAACUGCAGUGCUAGAGAAGGCGAGAGGUAUGCGGAAUGCGCAGUGUAGCGGUGAAAUGCUUAGAUAUUGCGCAGAACUCCGAUUGCGAAAGGCAGCGUACUGGCGCCUGACUGACGCUGAGGCACGAAAGCGUGGGGAUCGAACAGGGAUUAGAUACC
rnacentral:rRNA from 1 species